AACGUAGGAGACAAACGUUAUCCGGAGUUACUGGGCGUAAAGGGCGUGUAGGCGGUUGGUUAAGUCUGGCGUGAAAGCUCUCGGCUAAACCGGGAGAGGUCGUUGGAUACUGGCCAACUAGAGGACGGUAGAGGCGUGUGGAAUUCCGGGUGUAGUGGUGAAAUGCGUAGAGAUCGGGAAGAACAUCGGUGGCGAAAGCGCUCUACUGGACCACAACUGACACUCAGGGACGAAAGCUAGGGGAGCGAAUGGG
rnacentral:rRNA from 1 species